CAUAAAUCUAUCACCAAAGCUAAUUAAACUAGAAAAAUUGAAGAACUUACCUUGAUUUCUUACCCCUUUGAAAUUUCAAGGGACGGUGGUGGGUUGGGGGGAAGGCUUAGUACGUAGAGAGAGAAAGGUGGCGGCAGCAGCGUCUAUGGUGACCCAGAUCUGAGGCUUGGUGUAAGAGAAGGGGACGAGGAGCUUGCUGGCGAAGGGGACGGGUGAGUCGGGUAGGGUCGAGAGGGGGAGGUUGUUGGCUCCGAGGAGGGUGCGGAGGUGGCCGGGUGAUGUUGAAGAGGGUCUUGACGGCGUUGAGAGUCGUGGCGUUUGUAGGGACGAAGUCGAUGAGCGCGUGGCAGUUGGAGGUGGCAUUGGUGGGGGUGGUGUAGUUAAAGGUGGCGGCGGAGGAAGGAGCGGUGAGAAUGGAGAGAGAGGCCGGCAUGAGAGUGAUGGUCUAGAGAGAGAGAGAGAGAGAGAGAGAGAGAGAGAGNGAGAGNGNGNGAGAGAGAGAGAGGGAGCUCUAGGAAAAGAUGGGUUUCCUUCUAUUGAUAAGGUUGGUGAGUGUGUGAUUUAAAAGAAUUGAUAUGUUUUGAAAAAUUUUGGUUUGAAUUUUCAUGAAAUUUUACGCGGGAAGAUGGGCGCUCAAAUUUUUAGAACUUAAGCGACGGAAUGUUCUAUUUCCGUCGUCUAAGUGAUUCAUAUUUUUUUUUUUUUAAAAAAACAUUCCGUCUUCUAAGUAAACAUUUUGGUCUCAUAAGUUCUACUUAGGCUAUGGAAUGUAGUUCCGUCUCCUAAGUGAUUCAUAUAAAUUUUUAAUUUUAAUUUUUCAAAAUGUCGUCGUCUAAGUAAAAAUAUUCCGUCGCUUAAGUACCACUUAAGCGACGGAAUGAAAUACCGUCUCCUAAGUCGUUCUUAGGCUACUUAAGCGACGGAAUGAAAUUCCGUCUCCUAAGUCGUUCUUAGGAGACGAAAUAUUUUGUCUCCUAAAAACAACUUAGGAGACGAAAACUGUUUCGUCGCUUAAGUAGAAAAUUCAGUCUCUUAAGUACCACUUAGGAGACGGAAUUUUUUAAUUCCAUCGCCUAAGUGCUAUUUUCCAGUAGUGGCUUUAGAGAUUUGGUAAGCCAAAUUUGACUUAUGGAGUUGGUAAGGUAAAACUA
rnacentral:lncRNA from 1 species